rnacentral:rRNA from 1 species
CCCUUAGAUGUUCUGGGCUGCACGCGCGCUACACUGACGCACGCAACAGGUGCCUGCUCCGAGAGGACUGGGUAAUCAUUUGAGUGUGCGUCGUGAUGGGGAUAGAAUAUUGUAAUUAUUACUCUUCAACGAGGAAUUCCUAGUAAGCGCCAGUCAGCAGCUUGCGCUGAUUACGUCCCUGCCCUUUGUACACACCGCCCAUCGCUCCUACCGAUGGGUGAUCCGGUGAAUGAUUCGGACUUCAGCGGCUCCCCUGGGGUGCGCCGGAGAAAGUUUUGUGAACCUUAUCACUUGGAGGAAGGAGAAGUCGUAACA